GUUUCAUUUAAGAGACUUCAUAUACAUAGGCGCCUUCUAAAUGGCUGAGGAGAACUGGCCCCGAGCAUCCCUCCCUCCGCAGAUGCUCCGGGUGAUAGGAGGCAGCGCAGCCGUGGUUGGCGGCGCCGGCAGCGCGGAAGAUCAAAAUUCUCUCUCCUGCCUCCUGCACGGGAUGCUUCAACAGAAAUUCCGUAUGAAACCUCUCAGUAACACGAGCAAUAUUGACCCCUGCGUUCUUCUCGUGUUUAUACUCACAGAAAGGAAAAAUAGCCAAACAUAAACGUCACUCUGAAGCAGAGACCUUUUGAAUGGCAAAAUCUCACUCCAAAGAAUUUCUGGAAAAUGAAAAUGAAAUGAAAUCUCUUAGCGUUGGUUUAAAAGCCCUCACAAAACGCUUCAGAAUGGAAACUCUUUUGCAUGGCAGCUCUGGCAUGUACUGAUGGUAAAUUGGCGCUUUAUAACAUGUUAUUCCUGCCAGUGUUGAUUACUGUUUUGUCACAAUAGUAACUAACUUUGUAAUUUAAUCUGUCUUGGUAUUGUCAAUCUAAAAUGUUAAGUAUACACUCUGCAUUAUGAAAACCUGUGCUGGGGAGGCUGCCUGUGGCUCUGGAAGUGCCUGAACUGCCAACGGCUGGAGCUGGAGCGGUGCCCCUGCCCGCUGGCCUCGGCUUCGCACCCUGCCCCGCGCACUCCUCGUGGCCACGGCUGGAGUCAGGCAGCGGCCCCGCUUACCUAAAAGAAACUGAGGAAACGCGUAGUUGACUGCGUAAUUAUCCUUUAUGUUAAAUACUUUCCGAUCUAUUAGCUAAUGCUUGUAUUAAUUUGUAAUACUUGAAAAACCUGAUCGGAUCUUGGUUUUUAAUCAAGUUAUCAUUCCAGAAGAGUAGCGCGGUUCUUGUGGAAAUUCUGAAAGCAAGUUACUAAGGAAUCUGACUCAUAAAGCCUCAUGAAAUUUGAAUGUUUAGAAGGGAAAAUGACUGGCAGCUCCUCUUGUAAGCACGCUAGUUGCAAUAAAGUAUAAAAGUUCAACAUCAAAGAGAUCACCGCUUAGUCUGUGGCAUAUUUGUACAUCAAAGAACAAAUACAGGACAAAAAGAACUGUAUAGAGAUACAGUUCAGCCUCGCAGAUGGGUCCCUGUGGAUUGC